rnacentral:rRNA from 1 species
UACAGAGGGUGCAAGCGUUGCUCGGAUUUACUGGGCGUAAAGCGUACGCAGACGGCCACGCAGGUCGGGUGUGAAAGCCCCGGGCUCAACCCGGGAAUUGCAUUCGAAACCAUGUGGCUCGAGUAUGGGAGAGGGAAGUGGAAUUCCUGGUGUAGAGGUGAAAUUCGUAGAUAUCAGGAGGAACACCGGCGGCGAAGGCGGCUUCCUGGCCCAUAACUGACGUUCAGGUACGAAAGCGUGGGGAGCAAACAGG